UACGUAGGGUGCGAGCGUUGUCCGGAAUUAUUGGGCGUAAAGAGCUCGUAGGCGGUCUGUCGCGUCGGUCGUGAAAACUUGGGGCUUAACCCUGAGCUUGCGGUCGAUACGGGCAUGACUGGAGUUCGGCAGGGGAGACUGGAAUUCCUGGUGUAGCGGUGAAAUGCGCAGAUAUCAGGAGGAACACCGGUGGCGAAGGCGGGUCUCUGGGCUAUAACUGACGCUCAUGCACGAAAGCGUGGGGAGCAAACAGG
rnacentral:rRNA from 1 species